rnacentral:tRNA from 1 species
GGGCGACUAGCUCAGCUGGUUAGAGCAUAUGCUUUACACGCAUAGGGUCUGCGGUUCGAAUCCGUAGUCGCCCACCA